rnacentral:lncRNA from 1 species
AUGGACACGGUGGUUGCCCAGAGCAUGGACAUGGUGAUUGCCCAGAGCAUGGACACGGUGGUUGCCCACGCUGCCCGGGCAUGGCACACAGCUCGGUGCUGCUCGGGCACACCCCUGGCACCGCCCGGCCGGGCCCGGUCCUGGCGCUGUUCCUCUUCAGCACCAACCUUGAGCAGCCAACCCCACCCUGCGCUCCUGGUGCUCAGCACCGCGCCAGCCCCAUGUCCAUCCCUGUGGCCAUCACCGUGUCCAUCUCCGUGUCCAUCCCGUGUCCAUCCCUGUGGCCAUCACCAUGUCCAUCCCAUGUCCAUCCCAUGUCCAUCCCUGCAUCCAUCCCCGUGUCCAUCUCUGUGUCCAUCACCAUGUCCAUCACCGUGUCCAUCCCUGCGUCCAUCUGUGUGUCCAUCCUGUGUCAUCCCUGUCCAUCCUGUGUCCAUCACCAUGUCCAUCCCGUGUCCAUCCCGUGUCCAUCCCGUGUCCAUCCCGUGUCCAUCCCUGUGUCCAUCCCGUGUCCAGCCCUGCCCAGGCUCCCGCAGCUCCUCGCUCUCUCCGCGCUCCUCCCGCCUCUUUCGUUUCCCCUUCCCGGAUUUUUGGGUUGAUUUUCCUUUUUUUGGCGUUUCUUGGUGCUACUCCCCCCCGCGCCCCCAGCAGAUACCUCAGCCCCAGCCCGGGUGCAGCUCCUCCGGGAUCAGGGAUCCUUUCCCAAAUUCCUGGGAUCCUUUCCCAAAUUUCUGGGAUCCUUCCCCAAUUCCUGGGAUCCUUCCCCAGUUCCUGGGAUCCUUUCCCAAAUAUCUGGGAUCCUUUCCCAAAUUUCUGGGAUCCUUCCCCAAUUCCUGGGAUCCUUCCCUAAUUCCUGGGAUCCUUCCCCCAAUUCCUGGGAUCCUUUCCCAAUUCCUGGGAUCCUUUCCCAAAUAUCUGGGAUCCUUCCCCAGUUCCUGGGAUCCUUUCCCAAAUUUCUGGGAUCCUUUCCCAAAUAUCUGGGAUCCUUCCCCAGUUCCUGGGAUCCUUUCCCAAAUAUCUGGGAUCCUUUCCCAAAUUUCUGGGAUCCUUCCCCAGUUCCUGGGAUCCUUCCCCCAAUUCCUGGGAUCCUUUCCCAAAUUUCCAGGAUCCUUUCCCACAUUCUCGAGAUCCUUUUCCCUCCAUUUCCGAGAUCCUUUCCCGCAUUUCCAGGAUCCUUUCCCGCAUUUCCAGGAUCCUUUCCCGAAUUUCCAGGAUCCUUUCCCGCAUUUCCAGGAUCCUUUCCCGAAUUUCCAGGAUCCUUUUUCCUGAAUUUCUGGGAUCCUUUGGGGCUUUCCUCCUGCCUUGCCCUCCUUUUCCCGUUUCCAGCCGGGUUUUCCCAUUUCUGCGCCUCCUUCAGGGAAUUCCGACCCCGCCGCGAUUUCCCCGCUUGGGUCACGAGGAGGGGCCGUGGGAUCCUUCAUUUGGGAAUCAAAUUGGAUUGAUUUUAUUUUAUUUAUUUUAUUUUAUUUUAUUUUAUUUUAUUUUAUUUUAUUUUAUUUUAUUUUAUUUUAUUUUAUUUUUAUUUUAUUUAUUUUAUUUUAUUUUAUUUUAUUUUAUUUUAUUUAUUUUAUUUUAUUUUAUUUU